UUGGGGGUCAGAAAGAAGAAUAACAAGAAAUAAACUCCAAAUUAAAUAAAUAUUUAGGACACAUCAGAUCAAGCUAAAUUUUGAUGAGCUGUAGCAUACUCUUUCCCUGGGGAAGCUAAAGGAGGAAAAAUGAAACAUACCUGACAAGAUUUUCAAGCUCUUCCUGAAGAAAGCAAGUAGAUUCAAGGACAUAUAACAUCAUUCAAAAUAUGACUUGUGGCAUUGAGGUACUUAGGCUCAUCAACAACAUAAUGGAUGGGACAAUCCAGAUGGUAUGAGAAACCAGAAAUGGAAAAUCGCAAAGAAGCAGUGAGUUAAAAGGACAAUGAAAGUGAGGUGAAAUGGCAAAAGAAAAUUUUGUGCAGCUAUACAAUUUUUCCAUUUAAUAUCC